rnacentral:rRNA from 1 species
UAGGUGGUUAAUUAACGUCAAAUGUGAAAUCCCCGAGCUUAACUUGGGAAUUGCAUUCGAUACUGGUUAGCUAGAGUAUGGGAGAGGAUGGUAGAAUUCCAGGUGUAGCGGUGAAAUGCGUAGAGAUCUGGAGGAAUACCGAUGGCGAAGGCAGCCAUCUGGCCUAAUACUGACACUGAGGUGCGAAAGCAUGGGGAGCAAACAGGAUUAGAUACCCUGGUAGUCCAUGCCGUAAACGAUGUCUACUAGCCGUUGGGGGAUUUGAUCCUUUAGUGGCGCAGCUAACGCGAUAAGUAGACCGCCUGGGGAGUACGGUCGCAAGACUAAAACUCAAAUGAAUUGACGGGGGCCCGCACAAGCGGUGGAGCAUGUGGUUUAAUUCGAUGCAACGCGAAGAACAUUACCUGGCCUUGACAUAGUAGAGACUUUCCAGAGAUGGAUUGGUGCCUUCGGGAAUCUACAUACAGGUGCUGCAUGGCUGUCGUCAGCUCGUGUCGUGAGAUGUUGGGUUAAGUCCCGCAACGAGCGCAACCCUUUUCCUUACUUGCCAGCAUUUCGGAUGGGAACUUUAAGGAUACUGCCAGUGACAAACUGGAGGAAGGCGGGGACGACGUCAAGUCAUCAUGGCCCUUACGGCCAGGGCUACACACGUGCUACAAUGGUCGGUACAAAGGGUUGCUACACAGCGAUGUGAUGCUAAUCUCAAAAAGCCGAUCGUAGUCCGGAUCGCAGUCUGCAACUCGACUGCGUGAAGUCGGAAUCGCUAGUAAUCGCGGAUCA